CAAAGGAAAGGGGAUUGUGGAUGGGCCCUGUGCUUGCUCUGCCUUCCCUUCCCAAGCCUCACUGUAGGUAAUGUGAUUCUGAACAGUGAGAAAGCAGCACUGACAGCCCCGGAGGAAAGGAGGAGGGCUGCUUAUUGGAGGGCAAUCCACUGACAGCAGCUGUAGCCCCCUGAGCCCCCUGUUGAUUUGUUCUGCCAGCGCUGAAUCAAUCCGACUGCGAUUUCAUUCUGUUGGUGGUGUUCUGAGUGCUUUCCUCAAAGCCCCCAACCCCACUGAGCUGCUGGGGAGUGCAGCUAUGGCAAUGGGUCCUCUUCAGCCCCCGAGGAUAAGUCCUGAUAGGAAGACCAGGACACAGCGAUGUCACACUCUGAGGCAGUUAUGAAUGUCAUUCCCCAAUCCACUCAGGAGCCUGCAAUUUUCUGGCCGAGGUGGGAAGCUGCCGACACCGUGUGAUACAUGGAGAGAUUGAUUGUAUUUACU